GUUUUUCAGGAUUCCUGCAGGAUCUCAUCCGUUUCAAAAAAAUAGACGUCAUCUGUGGCUGCAAGCAAUUAAACGGGCAGACUGGGACAAUGCUACGAUCCAAGAGGCUCGUGUUUGUAGUGCUCACUUCAUAUCAGAUGUCUGCCAUUCCUGCUGACCUUGAGAAAAUGCUUGCCUGUGUCUCCUUGUUUUACCCUUCUUGAUACUUUAUUAGAAUAAAUCCGUAAAAGAGGACCAAAGCUGCAUGGAGAAAAGAGGUGUGUAAAAUAACUGGGGAAACUGUGCAGAAAAAGACUUUAACCAUCAGUCCAAAAGUAUCAAAUGCUGAUAUAUAUAUUAUAAACUAUUUGUUUUGAUAUAAAAUAAUAGGCUAGUGUUCACUGAAACCUGACUUGAGAGUAUAUUUGUAUUUUAUGAACAGUUAAGAUAUGUAUGUAUGUAUGUAUGUAAUUAUGUA